AUGGCGGAGAACGUACGGUCGCCUUUCGACUACCGGGAGCCGCCGACCCUCGACAGCGACGGGGACGGGAGCAAACCUCCGCCGCCACGGGGACGCGUAUGUGGAAGAAAACGGAAGGGCACUCCUGUGAAGGUGUGUGAUCGCGCCUACGUGACCGAAGAUGAAGAGGAAGAGAGCAUGUCUGAGCACAGCUACAGCCCUGGGGAUGGCCAGUACCCAGAGGGGGCAGAGGACCGCCUCCCGCCGCCGGGAAGCCCCUACUACCUGGCCGACCCGUCCCAGCUAUGCGUGCCCGAGCUUGGCGAGGACGGCUCCAGCGGCGUGCGCGGCCCCGUGCUCUUCCACCCGCCGCCCAACUGCCGCAUCCGGGAGGUGCACUGCGGGAGCCAGGUGCGGCUGGUCGUCAUAGCGAUCCGGGACAUCGCCAAGGGCGAGGAGAUCACGGUGGACUACAGCCUCACGGACUGGGGCGAGAACGCCAUGGAGGAAGAGGCAGGGCCACACCCUCUCUCCCUCUCGGUCUCGGAUUACCUCACCCCCUCCUGGUCGCUCUCCCCCUCCUCCUCCCCCCUCACGCACUCUGAGCCCAGCGACUCGGACCGCGAGGAGGAGGAGGAAGAGGAGGAGGAGGAGGAAGACGACGACGAUGACGACGACGAGGAAGAGGACCUGGAGGAGAUGCGCGGCCGCAUGCUCCGGCGCCGCAAGAAGCGCAAGAUGGCCGCCGCCGCCGUCAACCCCAAGAAGAAGAGCUCCGCCCCGCCGCCCCCCACACCGGCGGCGGCGGCGGCGGCCACCUCGUCCCGCGGGCCCGGCCGCCCCUGCUCCUCGUUCCCGCGGCCCUCGGCGGCCCCGCCCCCCCGCUCCCAGUCGCAGCCGCCGCCGCCGGUGAGCGCGCUGGCCCCGCCCACCACCAACAUCAACAACAACAUCAACAUCAACAUCGGGGGGGCGUCGGGCGUGGCGGCGGCGGCGGCGGCAGGGAGCCGGCGGCAGCACUGCCCGUACUGCGGGCGCCACUAUCGCUCGCUGGCACGCCACCUGGAGAAGCACCACGCGGGGCAGCCCGAGGUGCGCGCCGCCAUGGAGCUAGCGCACCUGCACGCUAACGGCGGCGGCGGCUCGCACGCGCGCGCCGCCUCCUCCUCCACCUCCUCCGCGUCGGCCCCCUGCGCCGCCGCCGCCGCGCCGCACGGCCACUCCUUCGCCGUCCCGCAGCCCUCGUCCUCCUCCAACCCCACCCCGCCGCCGCUCUUCUCCUCCUCCUCCUCCUCCUCCUCCUCCCGGGAGCGGGAGUCGCCCGCCACGCGCUCGGCCGGCCCCGCCGUCUCCUUCUCGCUCUCCCUGUCGCCGCCGUCCCUGGCCCCGCCCGCCGCCGCCGCCGCCGCCGGCAGCAGGAAGGGCGGCGGGCCGACGGCGCCGGCCGCCAAGCGCGGCGCCGGCGCCUGUCAGGCGGCGUCCCGGGUCAAGAGCCCCUCGCCACCGCCGCCCCCGGCCGCCCCGCCGCCGCAGGUGGCCCCGCCCCCUCCGGCGCCGGCCUCCUCGCCGCCCGCCCCCCGGAGGGGCCAGAGGAUGAAGAGGGAGAAGCAGGAGGAGCAGCAGAAGGUGGAGAAGGAGGAGCUGGCGCCCCCGCCCACGCCGGAGCCCCACCUGGACCAGGAGGAGGAGCUAGAGCUGAGCGCCGAGGGCGAGGAGGAGGAGGAGGACGCGCCGGAGGAGACCAACGGAGAGCUGCUCAGCGCCCACCGACAGCACAUCUCGCCGCUGCUGUCCUCGCUGUCCUGCCUGGUGCUGUACCUGCGCCGGCAGCAGCACGCCUCCUUCCUGUCGCUCACGCGCUCGCCGCACUCGGCCGAGGCGUGGCGCCUGCUGUGCCACUCCAGCCUCUCGCUGCUCAUCCUCUACAACCGCCACCGCGAGUGCGAGGUGGCCAAACUCUCGCUGCAGGACUACCGCAACCGCACCCUGCCGCCGCCGCCGCCGCCCGCCCCGCCGGCCCCGGCCGCCGGCGGCCCCGCCCCUCCGCCGCCGGCCCCGCCCACCGGCACGGAGGCCCUCCUCUCGCCCUUCGAGCGCCACGUCCUCUGCCACCUGCCGCGGGCGGGGGUGGUGGGCAAGCGGGGCCGCGUGCAGCCGCUCAUCCUGCCGCCGCACAGCGAGGCGUGCCUGGAGCUGCUGCUGCAGACCAGCCCCAACGUGGGCGUGGACCCGGGCAGCCCCUACGUGUUCUCCCGGCCGUACCACUCGCCGGCCACGCCGCUGCGCGGCACCGACCUCCUGCGGAACCUGGCGCGCGCCAGCGGCGCCAAGAACCCCGGCGCGCUCACGGGCACCCGGGUGCGGCGGCAGGUGGCCAUCCUCAGCCAGCUGCUGCUGCUGGAGGAAGGGGGCGAGGGUCCGGCCGCCGCCGCCGCCGCCGCCGCCGCCGCGGGAGGGGCUCCAGCUCCGGCCGGCAGGGCCACCCAGCGGCUGGAGGAGUUCCUGGAGCGGGAGUACCACGUGACGCAGAACUGCGCCACCAUCGUGCGGGACCCGGCGCUGAUGGGCCGGGUGGGCAGGGUGGUGCUGUACGGCGAGCGGGAGGGCGUGCUGUUCCGGGGGAUGAGCCUUCAGCACAUCUGCCUGGAGCUGGACGUGAUGUCCGGCAACUCUGGGGACUCGUUUUCGGACGACUCUGACGGAGAAGGGGCGGAGAAGGAGGAGGUGAAGGUGGAGGUGGCGGUGGCCAAGAAGAAGGGGCCGGGCCGACCUCCCCGGAAGAAGAGGGGGCCCAUCGCCACCCCCGUCAACACCAUGCUUCCUGUCGCCCAUAAAAGGAGAUGCGUCCAGCCCAAAUCCGGGAAGCGCGGCGUGCUGAAGCGGCCGUGGUCGGAGGCGGAGCGUGUGGCGGUGGAGACCCACCUGAAGAGGAACAUCGUGGAGCUGCGCGUUCCCGCCAAGGCGGACUGCGAGCGCUGCUUGGAGCUCUGCCCCCUACUGGUCAGCAACCACAGAGACUGGCGCUCCAUCAAGUUCUACGUCCACAACCGCAUCCAGCUGCUGAAGAAGCAGGGGAGGCGGGAGAGCAGCGGGGCCGGGGCGGCCUGUUAG
rnacentral:lncRNA from 1 species